GCAAUGAUGCUAUUGCCCCUGCCUUUAGUGAAAUGAUGGUAUUUCCCAAAAUAACCUUUUAUUUUGCCCCUCCCGGUUUUCCUCUAAACCUUUCAUUUUGCUUUUGAAGAAUCUCAUUCAAUCUCUCUCCUCACUCUUCUUCUCCCAUCUUUUCCACUCUGCACUCUCAUCUCCUUCUCCAUAUUUUGGGAGCUAAUAAUAAAGCUAGCUGCACGAGCUGUUCUUCAAGAGCAACCAAGAGGGGAGGAUAGAGAAAAUCAAACUAUGUCAAAAUCAUCCGAAGUAUUCAUCGGAUCAAUUGAUCAAGGAACAACAAGCACUCGAUUCAUCAUCUAUGAUGGAUCUACAACAGCAAUUGGAUCUCAUCAGAUUAAAUUCACCCAGUUUUAAUUUUGGUUGAGAUGUUAUUCUUGUUUUGGAUUAAUUUAAUUAUUGUGAUUUUGUAGUGAUAUGUUGCGAUUUUAAUUCUGGAAUAAGUAUUAUUAAUUUUCUUAGUUUAAUCUGGCCCAAUUAAAGUAAGCUUUAUUAAUUGACAUUUUUUUUGGGUUUAGCUUAGUGGGUUGUGUAUAAGCUGUUGGAAUCAAGAAGAGUUCGGGUGUGUUUAUGUAAGUCUUUGUGUGUUCUUAUUGUAGAUUAGUUAGUUAAUUUGUUUUGAACUUGGUUUAGCAAUUACAAAAAUAGCUAAUUAAGUGUGUGUGCAGUGUUAUGUAAGUAGUUGUGUGUUGCUAUUGUAAUUCAGUUAGGUAAUUUGAAGGGAUAAUAGUUAGUUUAUUUGAUCUGAAAUUUGUGUGGUGCUAUUGUAACUUAGUUAAUUUAAACUGGAAUUUGUUAGUUUAUUUGAUCUGAAAUUGGUUUAGCACCUUUUACAAAAGUUCGAUUUGAUGUGAAAUUGGCUUAGCAACUAUAAAAAUUGUCUGUGAAGGUAAUUCAGAUUAUCUUUAUUGGGGAAUUUGUCAAAUAGUUAUGUUGCUUAAUGUAAUUGACAAUUUGUGAGGCUGCUAUUAAGGUUUCGUUGGUUUUUUGGAUCUAAAUAAUUUAGGUAACAUAUAAUUCCAAUUUUAAUUAAAUCAAAUUGAAUAAUGAUGAUUAGUAACUUGAUGUAGGCAUCACUCUUCUUUUUUUGGCUCAAAAUAUCAGCAAUUCUUAGACUGUACGUUACUUUUGAAUAGGCUGUAUAGAGUAGGGUAUGGGUUAUCAGGUAGAGUUGGUGUAUAUAGAUUGUUUUCAUAUCUAUUAUACUGUUUGAUAUACAUACUGUAAUUAAAAAAAAAGGUACAAAAAGGCUGUACUUGUACUUUCGCUUACUUUUGUUGUAUUGUUUGUAGAGCUGUGACUUGGGUCUGUUGUACUUUCAUUAGUCUUGCUUUUACUUUAUAUUUAUUUUUUUGGUAGAAUAUAUAGAUUAUAUAUAUACAAUUGAGUAAGCCCAAUUAGAGUAUAAAAAUGGGAAGUCUUGACAUAUAUACGUGUAGAGAGAGAACAAAUGGAUUGUUAAUUUAGUGAGGUAUUCAGCCUGUUGAUGAACUUUUGCGUAAAGUUAGUUGUAUGUUGCAUUUCUUCAUGUGUUUUUUAGGGUUUUGGGUAGUUAAUUUGGUGUUCUUAUUAAAUUUGCUCUUGAAAUUGAAGGUGUUUACAAGUUGGUUUGAUUUGGAGUAAGGAGCUGCUUCAGUUGAUAUUCAAGUGGUUGUUUUGUGUUUGCUUUAGAUUGUGCUAUUACAGUGAGUAGUUCCUGUUGUUAUAUGCUUUGUGCUAAUGAACUUUGGUUAUUGUCUGCUUAUAGACAAGGUCAAUUAUUGAUAUCAGAUGUGUAUGCUGUUUAUUUUCGGCUAAUGAUAGUUGAUAUGAGCUAUUAUGUUGUAUAUAUGUUGAUUCAAGAUAAUAUUAAUUCACGUAGUUUAAGUGUGAUGCCUUUUGGGUUUACCUCUUUUGAGGGGGAACAUGUCGGUUUGCUAGACUUGGUGAAGGUGGGAGUUUGCUAGACUUGCUAAGAUAAAUUAUGGUACUGAAUGGUGAAGAAUUUUCUCACAAAGAAACUCUGUCCGCAUGGCUUUUGUUAUAGAAUUUUCAAUAUUUUCCUUGUAUUUCUUGCUGCUACUACUUUCUUGUGCAUUUAUUUUGUCACGUGUAUGUGACCACUAUAAUAGAGGAAUUGGUGUUCAGAGAGAGAGAAAAAAAAAAAAAAAAAAAAAAAA